rnacentral:rRNA from 1 species
GAUGAACGCUGACAGAAUGCUUAACACAUGCAAGUCGAACUGUGGCGGACGGGUGAGUAACGCGUAAAGAACUUGACUCACAGCUAGGGACAACAUUUAGAAAUGAAUGCUAAUACCUGAUACUGUGAGAGAGCUUUGCGUCACAUUAGCCAGUGGGAGAGGUAAAAGCGCACCAAGGCGAGGAUGGGUAGCCGGCCUGGGAGGGGGAACGGCCACAAGGGGCAUGGGACGCGGCCCUUACGCCUACUGGCGGAAGGAGUGGAGAAUAUUGGAACAUGGACCGAAGUCUGAUCAAGCAAUUCUGUGUGCAAGAUGAAGUUUUCGGAAUGUAAAGUGCUUUGAGUUGAGAAGCGGUACCAACAGAAGAAGUGACGGCUAAAUACGUGCCAGCAGCCGCGGUAAUUC